UAGGCUGAAGCCCGCUGGCUUGGGUGUUUAGUUGUUAACUAAAAUUUUACGGGAUAAAGGCCCGUCAGCCUAGU
rnacentral:tRNA from 1 species